rnacentral:rRNA from 1 species
UACGGGGGGGGCAAGCGUUGUUCGGAAUUACGGGGCGUAAAGGGCUCGUAGGUGGCCAACUAAGUCAGACGUGAAAUCCCUCGGCUUAACCGGGGAACUGCGUCUGAUACUGGAUGGCUUGAGUUUGGGAGAGGGAUGCGGAAUUCCAGGUGUAGCGGUGAAAUGCGUAGAUAUCUGGAGGAACACCGGUGGCGAAGGCGGCAUCCUGGACCGACACUGACGCUGAGGCGCGAAAGCCAGGGGAGCAAACGGG